UUUGCGUCUGAAGUCUGAAACUCCUCAUAAGCUAGCCUCAUCGUCUCCCAUUCCCCAUCUUUAUCUCACCCCAAACGACACAAACCCCACGAGGCCACGCUCUAGGGUUGCGGCCACCAUCGGGGGUAGAACCAGCGGCGAGCGAGCGGCGUCGGGCUCCCAUUACUCUCCAUGUCGAACCUCUUCGCGUCAUUCGGUACCUAUUCCCUCUAUGGCCCGGGCGGUGCCGAAGCUGGAGCGCACGCUAUGCCCGCACGCGGCCAACAUGGCUUGACGCGAUGGUGGCAGGGUGGUGUCCAGUGAUGUGGUUCUCUCGAUCCCCUCCGCGUUGGCGUGCUGCGGUGGGCUCGCCUCAGCGCCGAGGACCUCUGUUGCAUCAACCGGCUGACGGUCGGCUACAACCACGGCCUGCUCGGCGACUGUGCCAACGUGCUGCCCCGACAGUUCCUCUUCGUCGAUCUUAACUUAUUUUUCUUAGAAUUAGGCCCUCUAGGUUUUUUAUGCUCCGUUUGAUCUUGCUUGCUCUUUCCAUGGCACCAUUCCAAUGUUCCUUCCUGAACCUUCUGAGUUCCAAGGAUGUGGUAGAUUAGAUUUCACAUUUGGGCAUACGCACGUAUUCUCAGUUCUUCUUUACGUUUAGAGAUGUGGUUACAACUCCCGCUUCCACUCUCUGGUCAAGACAACAUUAGCUGGUUAACUUCAACUUAUAUUCCUUUAGCGUAUCCUGGCCUGCAACUUCGUAAACAGAGUAGAUCAGAGUGGAAACCUGGUCAUCUUUUUUAUGCCUUUGGGCCGCUUUUGCUCAAUGGCGUUACUACUAGAAACGUAGUUUAUCUUACUAGAUUUGCUUUUUUUUAUGUGAUGGGAGGAUCUAUGCACUCUGCAAUCUGCAUCGGCUCAUCUCCUUCCCCAUCCAUGCCAGAUCCUGCUUUUGUUUGUUUGAUCGUGCAUGCUUGAUUUCUGGAUUUCUUCAGGAUGCCGAUGCGUGUAAACCGUUGGGCGUUCGUUACUUGGUUUCAUCGGCCCCAUCUGAGGCCGACUAUUAGAUUCACAGAUCAGCCGACAACAUACUGAGAAGAAGAGCCUGGGACAUUUUAUUUAUUUCAGGUCAUGCUCCCUUCAACACUACUUGGUUAUGGAGCUGGUGAAAACUGGACAAUGAUGAAGACCACAAGUGUUACCCAAUAUGCAAAUUAUGAAGCAGUAUUUUUAAGGAAGGGCUUCUAGCAUGGUCGUAAGUCUUGCAGGUGUAAGGCUACAACCUUGGUUCUAACAAGAAGGGUAUGUCACUGAGUUUGCAAUUGACCCUCCGCCGACAGUGGAGCAAUUGAGUUUUUUAAAAUAUUUUCCAGUAAAGAAAAUAUAUUGUGAUUUCACACUUCUUUUAUGUCUGUGCAUAUGAGAGUUAAUUUUAAGCUUAUGUUCUAUUAUGUUUUUCCAUCCAGUGCUGCCAUUGCUGUCAAAGCAGAAUCAUCUUAUUUGCAAACCUUGAAGGCGUGUACUAUUGACUGAAAUGUUAUUUAUAUUGCUUCCACCUUCCUUUGUUACAACCCAAUACACUAAAUUUAUUGGGGACAUUUUGAUUUUUCUUCCUUUUGGUUCCAUUUAUAGUUAUAUUUCCUUAUUGUUCCCAUUGCAAUGCACUGAUGAUGGAGGAAUGGCCGACUGAAAUUUGUUACUUUUGUUUGAUGAUGUUCCA